GCCUGGUUAUAACCUGAGACAUUACUUGGUUAUAACCUGGUAAUAACCUGAGACAUUACCUGGUUAUAACCUGGUUAUUACCAGGUAAUGUCUCAGGUAAUUUC